rnacentral:miRNA from 1 species
GCAUGAUGAUGAUGAUGAUGAUGAUGAUGAUGAUGACAAUAAUAAAUAUCAUGAUCAUAAUCAUCAUUAAUCUACUUCU